GUGGACACCGCACUGGGUUUCUUCUCCAAUUCUAACCUGCUGUGAAGAAGUCACAUUUUAAGUGAAACCCUGGGCUGUUCUAGUUUACCAUAACUUGGGGUUUUGCUGGAUCUGGAGCUCCUGGCCAAGUCUGUUACUUCUCCCUGGAGUUGCCAUCCUCCAGGACGUACCUUCUCUCAAGUCAGUUGGUCUAGUCCACUGUCAGUGUGCUUCUUGGUUGGAGCCUCCGCUGCCAAGUGCUGAGGGGAAACAAAACAGAGCUUGGAGGUGAUUAGUGUGCAGUCCACAGAAAUCCUUCUGCUGUUCUCAUUUACUUGAUGAAUGAAAUCUCCCAGGGUAAAGAGCCUUCGGGUGCUGGACUUGUCAGGUGUGGAGAAGUAUAAUAACCAGGGUCAGCAGACUCAGUGACAAGAACACCACUUCUGUGCCUCAAAGAUGACAUCUUCCCAUUGUGUCUUCAUGUGAUGGAAGAGUCGGACGUAUGCAUCUACUGAGAGCAUAGGACAAAACGUCUUCAGAGUGAUGCGAAGGUUCUUUGUUUGAAAUGAAGCUCUGCUAAAGCAACUGCAGAGAACAUCAGUUCUCCAAGGACUACAUGUGUCUGACAAUGUUAAAGGAGGGAAUAUCCAGACCCUACAGGGACCUCAUUGUUUUAAGUUCACUUCUGUGGGAAAGCCAGUGUCAGAAGAAUAUAAACUCAAGGCUGAUAAAAAUUCGCAGUAGGUGUAACUGUCAGAAGACUGCAGUGUGGCAGAAGAGAACGGUGGAAACCACAGGCUGACCGCAUCCCUCUGUGAAGUCAACACUCCUACAGAAUAGCACUCUGCUAGAGCUACUCUCACUGAAUUCUGUUUGCAGGUACAGAGAUGCUUCUGAUGUCUGGCCAUCUGGCAGUGCGGACAGGAGAUGUCCUUGAAGCAGAUGCCCCCAUAAAAUACUAAAACUUCUUCACAACUGCUGACACCUUAGGUGGGAAGAGCAGCUCUCUUCGUUGACUCUGUAGGAAAGAACGGCAUCUGUAGUUGGAAUUGACUGCACCGACAAUGACUUUUCAACGUAAAACUAAAGAAAAUCUGGAGGAGGAGAAUAAAACAAAGAUCAUUUUCUAAAAGAAAAAAAUGGAGGAUUUGACGGCAUUCAAAAUAAUAAUGCCACCUGGAACUUGAACCAAAUUUUUCCAAUUCCAAACCUAUUGUUAUUCCCUGCCACAGCAAAAUCUACCAGGCAAGUUGUAAAUAUAAAAGGUGAGAAAUUUAAUUUUUAUGAAACAACUAAGAACAAAGGCUC
rnacentral:lncRNA from 1 species